ACAAGAGCAAUGUGGAAAUAUGGAUGGAAGAAAAAAGACAAUUGUUUAAAAGAGGGGGUUGCCUUUUAGAUAAAAAAUGAUGUCUGUAAAAUAAUGAAUGAAUAUAUAUCUUCAGGGACGUGCAUUGAACGAGUGCUGUUGCAGCUUGAUUCUCCUGCCUUCCCUAAAUGCAAGUCCAGCCGAUUCAAUCAUCAACAUCUUCUGGUGUCCCCUCCCUGAAUGCUCCUUGGACCUUUUUUUGUUAAGAAC